CGAGAAAUUGGCGGCUGCCUUUUGGGGAUGGACGGGCACCUGGUGCUGUAACGGCUGCUAUGCAGGCGCCUGGAAGUCUUCAACGUCAAGAGGGUCAAGCGGCAUAAAAGCUGUCCGCUAGUGGGCUGGGAAUCACACUCCCAGCCCGCAACACUGUCAAAUUGCGGGAACAUCCUAAAGCCAACACUACCAAGCGGGCGCUGAAAGGCGUGCGUGGCCGGGGUAAUGACCUAGGGUAUGGUAAAAACGUGUUGGAUGAUACAAUGGACAAUCCGCAGCCAAGCUCUAAGUCCGGUGUCACGACGCCGGAUAUGGGUGCAGUUCAACGACUAAAUGGUAGUGGGUUCUGCGAGAAACGCGUGCUGCGAACUUCUCCCGGGGCUUAAGAUAUAGUCUACUCCCACUCUGAAAGGAUGGGUACUGAGUG
rnacentral:rRNA from 1 species